CAUGGCCUCUUGCAACCUACAAAUAAGAGGUCCAACCUGCCCAGUGACAAUAAGUUUAACGGCCGCGGUAUUUUAACCGUGCUAAGGUAGCGUAAUCACUUGUCUUUUAAAUGAAGACCCGUAUGAAAGGUGUCACGAGGGCCCUCCUGUCUCCUACUUCAAGUCUAUGAAAUUGAUCUGCCCGUGCAGAAGCGGGCAUACCCCCAUAAGACGAGAAGACCCUGUGGAGCUUAAGACUAUAACCAAUCAUGCCUAGUAACCUACCCACCAAACGGCACAAAAGGUCCAAUAAGCUUAAUGACAAUGGUUUACUGUCUUCGGUUGGGGCGACCAUGGGGGACAGAAAAGCCCCCAAGAAGAAGCAGGGGACCAGUUAUACCGAUCCCUAAGAGUUAAGAGCUACAACUCUAAACAACAGAAAUAUCUGACUAAUAAUGAUCCAGGUAAUAAACCUGAUCAACGGACCAAGUUACCCCAGGGAUAACAGCGCAAUCCUUUCCCAGAGCCCAUAUCGCCGAAAGGGUUUACGACCUCGAUGUUGGAUCAGGACAUCCUGGUGGCGAAAAUUCUACCAAGGGUUCGUUUGUUCAACGAUUAAAGUCCUACGUGAU
rnacentral:rRNA from 1 species